rnacentral:misc_RNA from 1 species
AUAGAUCAAAAGCUUCAUAUAGCCUAUUCUGCGUUAAACAACCCUCAAUUACAGCAUUGUAAGAGAUUACGUCAUGAUCACCCAUAAUGUCAAAAACCUUCCUUGCGUCACCAAAUGAAUUACAUUUCGCGUACAUAUCAAUCAAGCUAUUCUUCACAUAUUCAUCAGAAUCAACAUUAGCUUUCACGGUAUAAGCAUGCACUUGUCUUCCCAGCUCUAAAGCUUCAACUGACCCACA